GACGAACGCUGGCGGCGUGCCUAAUACAUGCAAGUCGAACGCAGUGGGGACGGGUGAGUAACACGUGGGUAACCUCCCAUCAGAGGGGAUAACACUUGGAAACAGGUGCUAAACCGAUACUGAUGGAUGGACCCGCGGUGCAUUAGCUAGUUGGUGAGGUAACGGCUCACCAAGGCCACGAUGCCGAGCCGACCUGAGAGGGUGAUCGGCCAACACGGGGCUGAGACACGGCCCCGAAUCCCACGGGGUGGCGCAGUGGGGAAUCUUGGGCAAUGGGCGAAAGUCUUACCCAGCCACGCCGGGUGAGGGAAGAAGGGUUUCGGAUCGUAAAACUCUGUUGUUAGGGAAGCGGUAUCCAACCAGAAAGCCACGGCUAACUACGUGCCAGCAGCCGCGGUAAUUC
rnacentral:rRNA from 1 species